ensembl:lncRNA
ACCACCCCUCCCUGUUAACGCACCUCUUCCCAUCAAACUCUUGCAGAAACUCCGUCCACAGGAUAAGGCCCAUCCAUCCACACCUGUAGAAUAGAUUACUCUGUUUCGUCCAGUUCGCAAUGGAAGAAACAAUAAGACACUUAACUUUCUCACUUAAUAACAAACAGACCAAGCUCACAGCCAAACUGAUACAGUUGUAGGAUUAACUUGAAAGCUGUUUGAAUGACUCCAUGUAAAUUAAUUUUUUUAUGUUAGUGCGAGCAUUUUAGGGAAAAGAAAUGAGAAAGAGAAGACUGUUAAAUGUUAAUCGUCAGCGUGUAACCUGCAUUUGCCUGCCUUUGCAAAAGCAUGUGUGGUGAGGAUGAGUAUAAUGAAACUGACAGAUGCAAGUCUGCUGGGUGCUUUACAGUGCUCUCGUUUGCAGAGCUUUGGUGGUUGGAUGACAUAAUCGCCCUUUCUAUCCUGAUGCUCAUUUGGUCUCUGCUCUAUGCUCAUCAUGCUAGAAGCUAGGAACGACUGAGAAUAGCUUGGACAGGGAUGUUUGGCUUUCGUCCAUUUAAAAAUAAAAAUGGCUGCCUCUGACGUCACAUGAGGAAGGCCCAUAGACUGUAAACUAUUUUUUGAAUAUAUAUAAGCGUUUAUUAGCAUUUCCUUCACAGCCUGACAUUUUGUGGAUGCCUGUUCUUUUGUGAAACUCAGCUUUGUGCUUUGCUCUAGAACAGAAGGUAGAGGAUGCCCUUGAAUGAUCAUGCCGGAUCAUGACGCACACGUCUUCUCCACUGCUGAUAGGCCAGUCACAGAUCUGUGGGUCUGUGAAAGAAGCUCUAGGAUAUAAUAAGACACUAAAAUGACUGACAUAUCUGAUGUGUUUUUACUUUUAAAAGGCAGGUUUUAUAGGUUAUUUUUUUUCAGAGGGAACAUCUGAAAUUUGUUUAAUAUAUUUUGUACAUUUCUGAACGGACCAUCUGAUAACAUCUGAAACAAUUAUUCCAAAAAAUCUUUACAAAUGCAUUUAAGUGGAGAAACAUUGCCAUCCCCUUAAACCAGAGUUCAGUUUGAAUGGAGGAGUUCAGUUUUAAUUUCUUUUUAGUCUGCUCAAAUCUAAUCAUCAUUUUAAUCUUAAUCUUCCAUAUUGGCAUGUAAUAACUUCAAUACAUUUUGUCAGUGGUCAGUUAGACCUAUGCACUUUUAUGUUCUCUUUCUCUGCUGGAAAAAAAAGGCAAAAUGUAAAAAUGUCCACAGGGUCAUCUCGGUGGAUCUGUCCAUAUGCUUUGCAUUCUGUUUUCUGUCUCCUUGUCAUAAAUCACUCAGAAGAUUUUCACAUCCAAUGUUGCCAAUGCAAACAGAACUUGGGCCUGUUGAAUUUUGUACAUCACUGUCAAUUCCAAGUACAAACUAUUUCUGCAAGUAGGUCCAUGAUUCUCAACUUUUUGUUUUGCUCUUAAAUGUGUGCAACUAGUUUCUAUCAAUUGGCCAGUGGAUUGACUGUAGCAGAGGUUUGGAUGUCGGACCAUCUGUGUUAGAGCAAUUUAAUAAGAACAAUAUCAGGCUUACAUGCCGGUAAAGAUGUCUUGUUAAUAGCUGAUUAUAUGACGCCUGUAAUAAAAGUGUAAUUAUUACUAAAAUAUUAUAAAUAAAUAUAUAAUGUACAGUACAUAGUUAUAUGGUUUAAAAUGUUUCUCUUCAUUAAGAAUAAAUUUAACUGUGAAA